AUUGAACGCUGGCGGCAUGCUUUACACAUGCAAGUCGAACGGCAGCGGGUCCUUCGGGAUGCCGGCGAGUGGCGAACGGGUGAGUAAUGCAUCGGAACGUACCGUGUAAUGGGGGAUAACGUAGCGAAUGUUACGCUAAUAUCGCAUACGCCCUGAGGGGGAAAGCGGGGAUCGCAAGACCUCGCGUUAUACGAGCGGCCGAUGUCGGAUUAGCUAGUUGGUGGGGUAAAGGCUCACCAAGGCGACGAUCCGUAGCGGGUCUGAGAGGAUGACCAGCCACACUGGAACUGAGACACGGUCCAGACUCCUACGGGAGGCAGCAGUGGGGAAUUUUGGACAAUGGGCGAAAGCCUGAUCCAGCCAUGCCGCGUGAGUGAAGAAGGCCUCGGUU
rnacentral:rRNA from 1 species